UUGAGAUUAUUAAGAAAGAAGCUUCUAAGUACAAGGAAACCUUUAAUGGAGAUGCCAAAUUUGAAGUUGUUGGUCCUUGGAUGGAUCAGUGUGUUGUCAACAUGGAAAACAGAACUUGUUCUUGUAGGAAAUGGGAACUCACUGGGAUACCAUGCAAGCAUGUUGUUGCUUGUAUCUAUGACAUGGCAGAUAAUCAAAAAAAGGUUUGUCUACCUGAGAAUUAUGUGGAUCCAGUUUAUUGGCUUAAUACAUGGAAAAAGAUGUAUGCUUUCAAGAUUGGUCCUGUGACUGGAAGAAACUAUUGACCCAAGUUUGAUUGGCCAAUUUUGGUAAAACCACCUAAGCAUCAUGUUCAGGUAAGAAGACCUAAGAAGAAAAGGAGAAAAAGCAAGGCAGAGUUAGAGAUUGUAAAAAAUGGCAAACUUUCAAGACAAGGAAAACAUGUCAAGUGUGGAAACCGCCAAGAACAUGGUCAUAACAAAAAAAAAUGCUCAAAUCCUCCAAAAAUACCAGUUGGGAAAUCAAAGAAGGCCAGUCAAGGUUCCAAAGCUAGAAAGACCAAGAAGGCAAGGGUGGAGUAGUUUUAAUUUGUUGUUACUUUUAAAACUGUUGGUUAGUGUAUUUUUUGAAACUUGAUGUGCUAUGCCUCUUUUGAAACUACUAUUUUGUAGCCUAUGGUAUGCCAUUUGAAACCUAGUAUGUGCACCAGGUAUGCUAUGAAGUUCCAGCCAAUUGUUUUGUUUGUCA